rnacentral:rRNA from 1 species
AUGCUCAAAAGCUUUGACGUCAAAACGAAAGAACCAAUAGUUCUCAAGCUUCAAUGCCGUCUCUACUACUUCUUUCAGUGCAUUUUCCAUUUCAUGCUUCAGGAAAAUGUUGAUGUACUCUUGGUCCUCAUCCAUCAUCCAGUUCAUUUGUUGAAUCACCACCCUUCUUAUGCCUGGAGUAUCGGAAGUUGGAGACUUGUACACUUCCAGUAUCUUUGUAAGCAUCUGGACGAACAUAUCGUCUGUAAUCUCAGCACUCCUCAGCGCAUCGGUGAACUGCUUUGCAUUCCCGCUGAUGCAAAUUUGCAUGCACAGGCCAAUAAAGCUCUCCAGCAGCUUGCCUUGUUCAGUUAUCAGCGCCUCUAUCUCCUGUGUAUACAGCGCAUAUAA